AUUGAACGCUGGCGGCAGGCCUAACACAUGCAAGUCGAGCGGAUGAGAGGAGCUUGCUUCUCGAUUCAGCGGCGGACGGGUGAGUAAUGCCUAGGAAUCUGCCUGGUAGUGGGGGACAACGUUUCGAAAGGAACGCUAAUACCGCAUACGUCCUACGGGAGAAAGCAGGGGACCUUCGGGCCUUGCGCUAUCAGAUGAGCCUAGGUCGGAUUAGCUAGUUGGUGAGGUAAUGGCUCACCAAGGCGACGAUCCGUAACUGGUCUGAGAGGAUGAUCAGUCACACUUGAACUGAGACACGGUCCAGACUCCUACGGGAGGCAGCAGUGGGGAAUAUUGGACAAUGGGCGAAAGCCUGAUCCAGCCAUGCCGCGUGUGUGAAGAAGGUCUUCGGAUUGUAAAGCACUUUAAGUUGGGAGGAAGGGUUGUAGAUUAAUACUCUGCAAUUUUGACGUUACCGACAGAAUAAGCACCAGCUAACUCUGUGCCAGCCGCCGCGGUAAGAC
rnacentral:rRNA from 1 species